rnacentral:rRNA from 1 species
GACGAACGCUGGCGGCGUGCUUAACACAUGCAAGUCGAACGGAAAGGCCCUGCUUUUGUGGGGUGCUCGAGUGGCGAACGGGUGAGUAACACGUGAGUAACCUGCCCUUGACUUUGGGAUAACUUCAGGAAACUGGGGCUAAUACCGGAUAGGAGCUCCUGCUGCAUGGUGGGGGUUGGAAAGUUUCGGCGGUUGGGGAUGGACUCGCGGCUUAUCAGCUUGUUGGUGGGGUAGUGGCUUACCAAGGCUUUGACGGGUAGCCGGCCUGAGAGGGUGACCGGCCACAUUGGGACUGAGAUACGGCCCAGACUCCUACGGGAGGCAGCAGUGGGGAAUAUUGCACAAUGGGCGGAAGCCUGAUGCAGCAACGCCGCGUGCGGGACGACGGCCUUCGGGUUGUAAACCGCUUUCGCCUGUGACGAAGCGUGAGUGACGGUAAUGGGUAAAGAAGCACCGGCUAACUGCGUG